GACGAACGCUGGCGGCGUGCUUAACACAUGCAAGUCGAACGGAAAGGCCUGCUUUCCCUUGUGGAUUGCGGGUACUCGAGUGGCGAACGGGUGAGUAACACGUGAGUGAUCUGCCCCCAACUUGGGUAUAAGCCUGGGAAACUGGGUCUAAUUCCCGAUAGGACUGCAGGGUGGUGCCUGUGGUGGAAAACGAUUUUCUAGUGGUUGGGGAUGAGCUCGCGGCCUAUCAGCUUGUUGGUGGGGUAAUGGCCUACCAAGGCGGCGACGGGUAGCCGGCCUGAGAGGGUGGACGGCCACAUUGGGACUGGGAUACGACCCAGACUCCUACGGGAGGCAGCAGUGGGGAAUAUUGCACAAUGGGCGGAAGCCUGAUGCAGCGACGCCGCGUGGGGGAUGACGGCCUUCGGGUUGUAAACUCCUUUCGACCGCGAGGAAGCCACCUGGUUGGAAGGGUGGUGACGGUAGUGGUAGAAGAAGCACCGGCUAACUACGUG
rnacentral:rRNA from 1 species